AAUAAGAUUUAUUAUUAUUAUUAUUAUUAUUAUUAUUAUUAUUAUUAUUAUUAUUAUUAUUAUUAUUAUUAUUGAGUGAGAGAGCAGUGCAUGCCAUCAAGGUGACGCUGGGGUAAAAUAUACAAAGCGCAGUAAACCCAUCAUGACUACCUGUCUGAUAAGGGUACACCAGGCACAUGCAUCACAACCAUAUGCGCGCGACAUGGUGAUCUCAUAUCAAGAUAAACAGCACAUGACCUUGCCGGUGGGGCCCAGUUAGAAUUUUCUUCAGGUUGAGUAGCCCAUCCCGCUCAAACGGUCCCUGAAUAAGGGUUGUUUAAGGAUGUUGAAAGAACCACCCAUGUUUCCAGAGGUGAAUUAUUCAAACCCCAAAGAAUCCCUCUCAACACAUGGCUUAUGAUGCUCCCCCACUACUUCUGCUCGUGAUCAGAGAUGCACAUAUUGUCAGCCACUGAGGGACAUGCUCAACUGGUUAAGGUCAAACAACUGACAAGCAAAUCUGUGGUAUUGAGCAGAAUAUUUGCUGUAGCCCAUCUUUUAUACCAAGACAAAACAAUGUACAUGAUAACACUUCCAAUCAGUUAAGAUCAGAAGCCAUGAGAGCCACUGCCUGGUACUGCAUCAGAUAAUUAUUAUUAUUAUUAUUAUUAUUAUUAUUAUUAUUAUUAUUAUUAUUAUUAUUAUUAUUAUUAUUAUUAUUAUUAUUAUUAUUAUUAUUAUUAUUAUUAUUAUUAUUAUUAUUAUUAUUAUUAUUAUUAUUAUUAUUAUUAUUAUUAUUAUUAUUAUUAUUAUUAUUAUUAUUAUUAUUAUUAUUAUUAUUAUUAUUAUUAUUAUUAUUAUUAUUAUUAUUAUUAUUAUUAUUAUUAUUAUUAUUAUUAUUAUUAUUAUUAUUAGUAUUAUUAUUAUUAUUAUUAUUAUUAUUAUUAUUAUUAUUAUUAUUAUUAUUAGUAUUAUUAUUAUUAUUAUUAUUAUUAUUAUUAUUAUUAUUAGUAUUAUUAUUAUUAUUAGUAUUAUUAUUAUUAUUAUUAUUAUUAUUAUUAUUAUUAUUAUUAUUAGUAUUAUUAUUAUUAUUAUUAUUAUUAUUAUUAUUAUUAUUAUUAUUUAUUAUUAUUAUUAUUAUUAUUAUUAUUAUUAUUAGUAUUAUUAUUAUUAUUAUUAUUAUUAUUAUUAGUAUUAUUAUUAUUAUUAUUAUUAUUAUUAUUAUUAUUAGUAUUAUUAUUAUUAUUAUUAUUAUUAUUAUUAUUAUUAUUAUUAUUAUUAUUAGUAUUAUUAUUAUUAUUAUUAUUAUUAUUAUUAUUAUUAUUAUUAGUAUUAUUAUUAUUAUUAUUAUUAUUAUUAUUAUUAUUAUUAUUAGUAUUAUUAUUAUUAUUAUUAGUAUUAUUAUUAUUAUUAUUAUUAUUAUUAUUAUUAUUAUUAUUAGUAUUAUUAUUAUUAUUAUUAUUAUUAUUAUUAUUAUUAUUAUUAUUAUUAUUAUUAUUAUUAUUAUUAUUAUUAUUAUUAUUAUUAUUUCAUCAGUUCAAAUAUUCUAACUCCUACACAAUCUGUUAGAAUUAAUUCACUGUUUCAUCCACGACAACUUGACGCUAUUCCAUUGGUUCGCGAGAUUCGUUCGUUCGCUGGCUUCUUCUUGUUUUCUUUUGUUGCUUUUUUUUUUUAUUCAAAUAUUUUCAGUAUAUUUUGUAGGAAAUAAUAAAAUAUAGAAUUAUUUCCUACAAAAUUCUUAUUAUUCGUGUUAGCAACUGACAAUGUUGAAGAUAGAUGCGUGAAAAAUCUGGCAAAUGUCUACAUAGAAUAUAAAACGCAAUGUUAUAUUCUUUUUUCAUCAAACACAACUUUACAAUAUUUGUUUAAAUUUGAUUUGUUAAUACGUAUUAGUUUCUUAUUCUUUUGCUGUAGGAAUCUGCAGAUAAUAGAUGUGAUUCUUAUGUCUUAGGAUUGGCAACACUUCAAAAUCGGUGACAUGAUUGUUUAGCAUAAGAAAACGUUGAUUUGAGAUCAAAAGAUAGAUGAUAGAUAGAUAGAUAGAUAGAUAGACAGACAGAUAGACUGAUUGAUUUGCAAACUAAUACUCAGAUAUGGAGACAGAUUAGUAUAUUGGUUGAUAAGUGGGUAGAUUGGCAGACUGAUAAAUUGAUAAAUAGACAGAUCGGAUCUUUUCGGUUUGACCGGCAGUUUUUAAAAAUAAUUUCCACGUAACUAAACACUUUUAAACUUCGUAUACUGGUAGAAUGUGUUUAUAAAACAUCUUUUUCUCUUGGCUUUAUUGAGAAAAUUCUAUAGUUUGUAAGAUAUUUGUUGUUUUUUGUUCUUCAAUUUCUGCAAUUUCAACCAAUGAAUGACGUCUAUUGAGGUGAAAACAUUCUGUGCCGUGUGAAUAUGUUCCUCGUUUAAGAAACAGAUUAGGUUUAUUUACAUUUCUGAAGAAAAAAAGAUACCCUUCCCCCCACCCCUAACCCUAACCCUAAAACAGAUCGAAAUGCAAUAGAUCGAUGCUAGGGUCAUAAUUAUGGGUGACAAUUUCAUAUGACACCGCUAGAAAAAACUGCCGGUCAAACCGAAAAGAUCCGACAGAUCGGUAGAUAGACAUAUUAAGAAGCGGGAAGAUUAACGAACAGACAUUGUAAGUGUCGUCUGCUAUAGCCUCGGGUCGACCAAAGUCUUGUGAGUGGAUUUGGUAGACGGAAAAUGAAAGAAACCCGUCGUAUACGUUACUGCAUAUAUAUAUAUAUAUGUAUAUAUUUCUAUCAGUGUUUACCCAACAACAACGUGCUGUGAAACAUCUUGCAGAAAUUAGCAUCAAUAAACAGUGGUGUAUUGUGAAACAGUUUACUGAAAUUAGCAUCAGUUAAGAGCAAACUGUUGCGAAUCUUAUUGCAGAAAUUCGCAUCAACCACCAGCGACAUGUUGCGAAUAAUCUAAUCUAUAUAUAAAGCUGAAGUUGUCUGUGUAUGGUAGGUUUGGUAGCCUUCAACUAUCACUAUCUCCUCCGAGACCCUGUGGCGCAAGUUGACCAAAAUUGAGAGUAUGAUAGAAAAAGGCUUGCUCUUCCUUCCGUAGAAGAAAAAAAUUCAAAUUGGACCAUGUUAACAUCAAAAAUUAUUUACAUCAAAAAGGUGCUUUUUUUCUAUGAAAAUCCCUAUUUUCUACGAUUUUUUGACUGGUGUGUCGCAAUUUUUCGGUGUAUUUCAACCAGAAAAAUGUUCAUUUAAAGAGAAUAACAAGCUACAUAAUGCAAAUUUUUUACUUUUCAAAAAUUCCAAUUCUAAAGGGUCGAAACAAACCCGAGCAACGCCGGGUGAUACUGCUAGUCUUUUUUAAAUUAGCAUUCAUCUCCAAGUCUGUUGUGAAUCAAAUCGUCUUGCUGAAAUCGCAUCAAUCACUAAUAACAUGUCGAAAAUCAUCGUACUAAGAUUAACAUCAAUCACCAGCAUUCUGUUACGAGACAUUUUGCUGAAAUUAGCAACAGUCGCAGGAGUGGCUGUGUGGUAAGUAGCUUGCUAACCAACCACAUGGUUCCGGGUUCAGUCCCACUGCGUGGCAUCUUGAGCAAGUGUCUUCUGCUAUAGCCCCGGGCCGACCAAUGCCUUGUGAGUGGAUUUGGUAGACGGAAACUGAAAGAAGCCUGUCGUAUAUAUGUAUAUAUAUGUGUGUGUGUUUGUGUGUCUGUGUUUGUUCCCCUAGCAUUGCUUGACAACCGAUGCUGGUGUGUUUACGUCCCCGUCACUUAGCGGUUCGGCAAAAAGAGACCGAUAGAAUAAGUACUGGGCUUACAAAAAGAAUAAGUCCCGGAGUCGAGUUGCUCGACUAAAGGCGGUGCUCCAGCAUGGCCGCAGUCAAAUGACUGAAACAAGAAAAAGAGUAAAAGAGUAGAGUCCUCAGCAAAUUAUACUCGUGAAUUACAAUACGUUUCUGCUGCUUACAACAACGAAAUGUGUUAGAUUUUUUCCAUGGUUUGUACUUGAGAGUACAUGAAACAUUUUUGCUUUCUGUUAUAUAAUCCUGUUUUGGCUUCCUUCAUACGACACUAAGGAAAAAUUAACUACAAAAGACCGCAAAAAGUAGUUCAACAAGUGAUUAUACAAUUUUAUUGCUCUUUUUUAAAAUCUAGUUGCGAAUGUUACACAAUGGCUUGCUCAGGGUGCACCACUUCCUGUAUCCAAUAGUUAGGACACCACUCUUUAAUACGACCUCAUAAACGAUUAUGACUCAACCAAAGUCAACUUGAUCUUUUCUUUCAGUUAAGAACCAGAAAAUUUAGAUUGAACUAGCUAUAAUGUCCUUUGGAGUCUUGUAGUCUCACCUGACAUAUGACAAAUGCACGAUUAGUCAUUUGUUAUUAAUCUUGUAGAUUAUGAUGCUUACAAAAUGGCUAAUCCAACAGGUAUUAACAGGAGUAUGUGCCAUAGAACAUAUAUUUAUCCACGGCGAACAGAAGAGAAUUUAUCCUGAAACGCAAAUAUGUAUGUAUGUAUAUAUGUAUCGAAGCAUGUUUAUAUCAACGUACAUAUGUAAGUGUGAACGUCUGCAUGCAAAUACUUUUGUAAGUAUGUUUGUAUGCAUGUAAAUAAGUACGUGUAUAUAUAUAUAUAUAUAUAUAUAUAUAUAUCAAAAUAAGCAACAAGGAUAUCUAAGGUAGUGUAGUACAAUCGUUUCAUGCUACUUCAUUUUAUUAAACACUGUAAGUAUUACAUCAGUUUUAAAAUGUCGAGCAAUCUUCAGCUAUAUAUAGAAUUUUGUAAUUAAACGGACAAUGCACAUUUUUAUACUUAUUUCAUUUGCCAACUUUGAAAUAAGUAUAAAAAUGAAAUAAGUAUAAAAAUGUGCAUUGUCCAUUUAAUUAAAAAAUUCUAUAUGUGACUGAAGAUUGCUCAACAUUUUAAAACUGAUGUAAUACUUACAUUGUUUAAUAAAAUGAAGUAGCAUGAAACGAUUAUACUACACUACCUUGGAUAUCCUUUAAUACCAUACCAAAUUCUGGUGCCUUUAACUUUUAAGUACCAUAUUCAUCUUAAUCUAAAUUUUUAUGAACUUAUAAUAUAUAUAUAUAUAUAUAUAUAUAUAUAUAUAUAUAUAUAUAUAUAUAUAUAUAUAUAUAUGCGAUUGUAUAUAUCUAUGUUUCUUCUAUUUUUUACUUUUUAUAAAUCUUCCACUAAAGAGGGAGCUGGUUUCCAACAAAGAUACAAGGCUCCAUCUUUGGGAUGUAGUCAACACAGACAAAUUUACAUUUGGUACUUGAGAAAAGUCUUGCAUAUUUUCACUGUUCCACUCACAGAUUGCACUUGUAAUGUACAAAUCAGCCGGUCGAUUCCUCUUUCUGAAAAUCCCAGUUUAUCCAAAUUCUCCUUUAAGCAUUUACUAACAAAACCUAGUGCUUCAAUGUAUGUAUGCAUGUAUGUAUGUAUGUAUGUAUGUAUGUAUGUAUGUAUGUAUGUAUGUAUGUAUGUAUGUAUGUAUGUAUGUACGUACGUACGUACGUACGUACGUACGUAUAUAUAGCGAUCCUCUCAUGUUUGAGCUGCUCGGUUUGAAUAACAGCUAACUUCUGGUAUAGGAACAUCCCAACCAAAAACUCUAAUGCACAUAUCAGUCUUUAACCAGUAACUAUAUUCGAGUAAUCAUUGGCAUGACGAAAGACUGAGAAUCGAAAAUUUGAUUGACGAGUCAGAGCAUUGUACGUACAUUUGAUUUAAAUAGGAAAAAACAUAUAUUCUAUAAAUUUCUUCCAGACUGUUCCUAUUUUCCAUCGAUAAAAAACGUCACGCAUCAUAAAAUGCUCAAUUUAUACAUCUCGGAUUAUGUCAUGCUGAUGAAUUCAAAAAAGAAUGAAAUAGUGCUAUACACGAUUACUCCUGACUAGAAAUUUUACCAGCUUCGUAAUGAUCAAACAAAAAAAUAAGUGAAUAUAUUUAUUCCAUACUUCUUCAUCCUUAUUACUUGUACUUGUACUUGUGGCGACAUUCACCCUGGGCGGGUUGAGUCGGCUUCUUCAACCAUGGAAGAAGUUUCGUGGGAAUAUGUGGAUUUCACAAGCGGUCCCCAACAAUCCCGAAUGUAGAGACAUCCUGUUUGCCGUAGAUUGUCCGCAGACGCAGGGACAGAACGACCGAGGAGCCGCCGUUUGCCGAAACAGACACUCCGAGGAUUUUCACAAGAAAAUACCACUCGGUGUCAGACCAAUCCGCCUUGGGUGGCCCUACCAGGAACCGAAGUUCCCGACGGCAUCGCUCUGACACUACCCGUUGCCAGCGUCCCCACCACGGUGAGGAGGGGAUGGACUUUGGGGACUUCAUCCUCAUUCCUUACUUUCUAAUUCAAACUUCUAAUCCAACCAAAUACUUUGAAGAAAUGAUUAUCUCCCUUGUAUUAAUUGUCCGCUAGGAGAGACGACAUGUCAUUUAAAUUUGAUUGAAUUUAAAAUUGAUAAUCUAUCAGAGAGUCAGUUUCAGUCUAAUGCACAUCUUCGAUAACGUCUCACCUUCCAUUGAUUGAUAUAAUAUUUCUAUCAAUAUUUUCUAUACAUGAGCAGACAUGGCUGUAAGUUAAGAAACCUGUUUUGUGAUUACGUGGUUCCAGGAUCAGUCCCACUGUGCGGCACCCCGGGGCGAUUAUCUUCUGCUAUAGCCCCGGACCGAUCAAUGCCUUGUGAGUGAAUUUGGUAGACGGAAACCGGAAACUGUGCGAAUGCUCCUUGUGUGUGCGUGUGUCUCAGUGUGUAUGUGUGUUUGUGUGUGUAUGUGUGUGCAUGUGUGUGUGUCUAUGUGAGUGUUUGUGUGUGUGUGUUCGUGUAUGUGUGUAUAUAUGUGUGUAUAUGUAUGUGUGUGUUUGUAUAUAUACAUGUGCGUGUGUAUAUAUAUAUGAGUGAGUGUAUACAUACAUGCAUGUGUAUAUUCAUACAUGUGUGUGUAUACAUACAUGUGUGUGUAUGUGUGUAUACAUAUAUAUGUAUGUGUUUGUAUACAUACAUGUGUAUGCUGUGUGUGUGUGUAUGCUGUGUGUGUGUAUGCUGUGUGUGUGUGUGUAUGCUGUGUGUGUGUGUGUGUAUGCUGUGUGUGUAUGUGCAUAUGUAUGUUUACAUACAUGCGUGUGUGCUCUGUGUGUGUCUUUGUUUUUAUGUUUGCGUUUGUCCCUUCACCACUUGACAACCGGUUCAGCAAAACACCCCAACAGAAAAUAUCGCAGACUUAAAAAGUAAAUCCUGGGUGUCGAUUUGUUUGACCAAACCCUUAAAGCCGGUGCCCCAGCAUGGCCGCAAUCCAAUGGUUGUCACAAAUAACAGACAAAACAUAAAAGAUAUCGAGUGUUCUUAAACAGACGCAAUCUGCUGAAUUAUUAUCACAGCCUGAGUAUUACAUUUCACUCAACUUAUCGAUGCAGAGUAUAAUGAAUGACUUACAGGAAACGUGUCUAUUUAGCAAUUCUUUUAGCGAUUUUGUUUUGGUGAAAUGUUCGCCUGCUUCCGAGUCUAGCUGCGAAUUUAUUUGUGUAAACUGAGCUGUGUAUACGAACAUCUCUUUUUAGAUGGACCGUCUGUGCUAUGCAAAACGCUUGAUGAUGUUUUCAUAUACUAUGGCAAUGGCGAUGGCAAUCACAUCAGAGAUAUUAUAUAUUUCAACAGGAUAUUUAACAUGACCUUUCUGUAGACGCUAUCGAAUGUUUUGAAGGAAUCUAUAUAUACGCAGGCAUGGAUAUGUGGUAAGAAGCUUGCUUCCCAACCACAUGGUUGUUCUGGGUUCAGUCCCACUGCGUGGCACCUUGAGAAAGUGUCUUCUACUAUAACCUCGGGCCAACCAAAGCUUUGUGAGUGGAUUUGGUAGACGGAAACUGAAAGAAACUCGUAGUAUAUAUAUAUAUAUACUCUUUACAGCUAGCACGGAUUUUUGUAACGACAUUUCGUAUCCGAGACGGCAGAUGUAAACAAGAUGUCUGUCUGUCUGUCUGUCUGUCUGUCUGUCUGUCUGUCUGUCUGUCUAUCUAUCUAUCUAUCUAUCUAUCUAUCUAUCUAUCUAUCUACCCGGCUGUCUGUCUGUCUGUCUAUCUUCCUCGAAUCUUCACGUCUAUCUUUCUCUCAUUGUUUAUCUAUAUACCACCUGUUUUAUCUAUAUCAUUCAGUCUAACUUAUCUUUUAAGCUUUUUCAAGCUAAAUUCCAAUAUAACAGACUGUACUGUGUGACUGCAAAAGACAAUAAAAUAAAUAUCAAACUUUACUUAAUCGAUGAAAAGAUUAACUGAUUUUGAGCGACAGAUAAAUCAAACAUUUUAAGCUUUUAAGUAAUUUUUAAAAAUUUCCGUAUUAUUUCAUCCAAUAUGACACACAACUAUCAAAAAGCGUUUAUUAAUAUAUUAGCUGGCGUACCCGGUAAUUCCUGGGUAAGCGGGGCUUAUCCCUUGGUUUUGUUCUCAUAAUUGUUUCGUUAAUCCAAUAAUAGCAAUACAAAAGUAUGUAGCCCUUAAAACGGUUUUUGUGCAUUUACAGAAAAUACCGAACUAUCUUACAUAGGAUGUUGUUUUUAGGAAUUCCCAAUAAGUUAUGAAUACCCAAAUUGUGAUGUCAGUUAUGUAAUAACAGGAAAUUAGUUACCCGAUAGUAAGAAUUCAAAUAAAGUAGCCCCGAAAAGGGCUUUAAUGCGUUCCCAGAGUAUAUAGAACACAGGCGGAAAUACUAAUAAGGUAGGUAUACUAAAAUCAGGAAGCAUGUUGCGUAAUAACAGACUAAUCAGAUAUGAAAUAAUAAUAAUUCAAAGUAAAUAACUCUGAAAAAGGCUUUUGUGCGUUCUCAUAGAAUAUUACCUUCAUAGGUGCUAGUGUUGGUAUAUUCGUGAAUAAAUCCCUAACCGAAAUAAGUGGAAAAUACUAUUUACUUGUUUAAGGGUUGUACUGGAUAAAUUGCGAAAAUAACUCUAACAGUUCAAAUAUUAAGAAACAAGUAUACUCAAUUUCAUUUUUUCAAAUAAUUUAGGGAUAUGAAUGGGUUAUAUCCCUUGGCUAUAGAUAAGGAUCACUUCUAGGGGCGAAUGGGUUAUUUCCCUUAGCUUUUAAAAUAAAAUAUAUUAGAUAUAUAUAAGGAUCCCCUCCAGGGGCCCUGUUAUCGAUUUUUUUUCAACAAUCUGAGUAUGCCAUGAGGUUUCCAGACAUGAGUUCUACUCACGUAUCAAGUUUUAUCAAAAUCGAAAGGAUGAUGUAGGAGUAGUUAGCUAACAACUCCACAAACACACCCACAGACAGAAUUUCCCACAUAUGUAGUAGAUAUAUGAGAGGAAGUCAAAACUUUUCCGCACUUUUGCCAUAACAUAUCUUUAUUAUUGUCACACCGUCAUCUGCACAUGCGUACUUAUAGUUGGUACUGUUGUGGUCACGUGAUCGAAGUUUGAGCCAGAUCGCACUUUUUUCUGGCUUUACAUUGUAAUCAUUGCCGCUCCACUAGCAAUGUGCACCAAAGAAAAACAAAGAGCAGUGAUUCGAUCAUGACAAAGAAAGUUGAGCAGAGAAUCUGUAACAAGUUUUGCCAAAAGCUUGGCGAUACCUGCUCAGAUGCCUACGCAAAGUUUUCACAAGGUUUUCAUCAUUCUCGACACAAUCAAGGAGAUUUUGUGCAACUGAAACCCGAGUGUCUUUUUGGUCAGCUGAAAGCAGUUUUGGCACAAACUUGAUAGACACGCGACUCAUGCCUCAUGGUUCACCAUUACCAUCUCUUGGCCUUGCUGAAUAUUCUCGUCGGUGGUGGAUGUUGACGGGCGUCCUGUUUCCUCUUCGUGCGUCACGCUUGUCCGGUCACUUUUAAACUUUACCAUCCACUCAUACACCCUUCUACGCGAUAAUGUACUGUCCGCGUAUUCUGUUAAAAGCCACCGAUGAAUUUCAGCACCUGACACACCUUCCGACCAGAGAAAUCGGAUCACUGCUCUUUGUUCUUCUUUGGAGCACAUUGCUAGUGGAGCGGCCAUGCUUACUCUGUAAAACCAGAAAGAAAAAUGGCGCGAUCAAGCUCAAACUUCAAUCAUGUGACCACAGUAGUACCAACUCUAAGCACGCAUGAGCAGAAGGUAUUGUGACAAUUAUAAAGAUAUGCUAUAGCGAAACUGCGAAUAAUUUUUGAUUUCCACCCCCCAUAUAUAUGUGUGUGUGUGUGUGUGUGUGUGUGUGUGUGUGUGUGUGUGUGUGUGUGUGUGUGGGGGGGGUGGUGGUAUCAAUUUUUCUCUUAAAUAUAUUUAUUUUUAUUGAGGGCAUUACUAUACAUAAAUGCCACACGCUGGGAGGGACUCUUAAAGUGAAAACUAUCAAAAUGUGUUUAUUUAUUUUGGUAGUUUUGACUUUAAGAGUCAAUCCUAGCGUGUGGCAUUUGUGUAUAGUAAUGCCCUCAAUAUAUAUAUAUAUAUAUAUAUAUAUAUAUAUAUAUAUAUAUAUAUAAGAGAAAGGUUGCGUUCAAUUGCAACAUUUUUACUUUGUGGUGUGUCCAAAGUUAGAUUUCUAAUAAAGAUUCUUCAUAUUAAAUUUGUAGCAUACUAUUGCAAGUAUUUUAUUAAAAAUAUGAAAAUUUUACAAGUGUAAGGUGUGUUAUGAGUAUUUAAAACCAUGUUAAGCAUAAAUUAAAAUGUUAUAAAAAUUUUAACAUCAUCUCUUCUCCAUCUUCAAUAUAUAUAUAUAUAUAUAUAUAUAUAUAUAUGUAUGUAUGUAUGUAUGUAUGUAUAAGCUGUGUUAUGAGCACUUAUAGAAUACAUUCUUAUAUAAACUCAACAAACAAUUGAAGAUGUGACCUCGUGUGUACCGUUGGCGAUUUUUUUCCUCUAUCUUCCCUUCUCUUGAUCUUUCCUUCUCCAAUGUUUCCGACGAAGAGCUCCACUCGAAACGUUAAACCUUCCUUCUUUCCUCCUUUCCUGAGCGUCCAAUAAUACUAUAUUUGUUCCACGUCCUCGCGUUGUUGUGUUUUUUUUGUGCUGUCAUAUUUGGAUUAACCUUAUAUAUAUAUAUAUAUAUAUAUAUAUAUAUAUAUAUAUAUAUAUAUAUAUAUAUUUAAAAAAAGGAGAUGUCGAACACGAGUGGUGAUAUAUAAAAAAGGAAAUGAAGAAAAUGCUGACAAAUAAUUGAAGUAAUUUAAGUAAUUUAAUUAGGUGAAAGUUCUUUUUACCGGUUGCGCAUUUGUUAUGCUUAUCAAAAUAUAAAAGAGAGAUUAGAGUCUGUCUCUUAUAUGUGAAAAAAAGAGGCUCCAGAGUUGUUUGGGAUUUGCUUGGUUUCGCACCUAAAAUUUUGAUUGGUCAUUAUGAAGGGGUCACGUGAAUGUUUGAAUGGAAGUUGGUGUUGGGGUAAGAAAAAAGGCUACAGAGAAGUUAAAAUUUGGCUAGUGUCCCGCCUAAAAUUUCUUAUUGGCCAUAAUAAAGAGGUCACGUGAAUGUUUAGAAUUUUCGAAAAUAGUGUUGUUGAAAAUUCUUAUUGUUCAGGCUGGUCAGUAGACGUCAUGUGGAUAUUUUAAAUAGCUUUUUAGCGCGUAGUUAGGGAGUGUAUUUUCCGCUUGACUGGAUAAGUAAGUUCGUUUAGAACAGGGAGAGCUGUAUGUAUGUAUGUGUGUGCGCGCGCGGGCGCGUGUGUGUGUUUAUAUGUAUGUUGGGGCGCGCGCGCGUGUAUAUAUGUGUGUGUGUGUGGGUACAAUUUUCAAUAUUUAUAGUUCUGCUGGCCUUGUGCCUGUAUCGGGAAGCAACGUAUUUGUGUGAAGUCAAUAUUUACAGCCAUUUCCAAAAAAUAGUGUUGGAUGUUUUGCACCCGUAUUCAAUUAUGUGUAUGUGUGGAACCAUAUAUUUGUGUGUGUCAUGGUGUUAAUAUCUGGGUAAAGGUGUGUGUAGGGUGUGUGCAGGUGUAAGUGUGUUUGUUGUGGGUUCGUGUUAGGGGCAUGUGUUUAGAAGUGGUCUGUAUUUAUUAAUAAGGUGGGAUUCCAUGGUUAUUCGCUGGGUAUGAGUGGCAUUGUCUUUAAAUUUGUAGAGGGGAAAGAUUCUAAAAUUGGGAUGGAGUUGUGCGGCACAGGUAUCAAUAUCAACUUAGCACUCUCCACCUUGGAAAAUGGAACAUAUUACGAAAAGGCUGAACACUACAAUCAACAGAAAAUUAUGAGAAACUUAAAAACCCUGAUCAACCCCCACAAAGAAGAACUCACUAACAAAGAAUUCAACUUCAUCACAAAUUUCACUAGUAAAACCAGCCUCUUCUACGGUAUUCCCAAAAUUCAUAAAAGCGAAUUAAUAAGUAAGGCAUGCAAGGAAGCCACAAACUCUGUAAUCAAUGUCCCCUCACCAAAUGACCUCAAAUUGAGACCUAUAAUAGCAGGUCCCGCUUGCGAAACCCACCGCCUUAGCAACUUCAUUGAUACCCUUCUCAAGCCGUUCCUCAAACACAUUAAAAGCUACAUAAGGGACGAUCUAGAUAUGCUCAACCACCUCCCCAAUACACUUCUUGCUGAACAAACCCUGCUAGUAACAUUCGAUGUAGUCAAUCUUUACUCCAACAUCCCCCACAACCUAGGAAUAGAAGCUAUCCAAUUCUGGCUGGAUAAUUACUCCAACGAACUCCCACACCGCAUCAAAAAGGAAUUUAUUUUAGAAGGACUCAAAUUCAUCUUAGAGAAUAAUUUCUUCACCUUCAACAACAAAUUCUACAGACAGAAAUCAGGGACGGCAAUGGGAACGAAAACAGCUCCCACUUACGCCAACUUAGUCAUGGGAUACCUGGAAAUCACUCUCUAUAAUAACGUUCUUAACCAAUUUGGCACCACUCUCCACACACACAUAGAGAAGAACUGGAAGAGAUAUCUUGAUGACUGCUUCAUCCUUUGGCCCGAAACCGUCGAGAAGCUUAACGAAUUUCACACUCUUAUAAAUGGGCUCAACACAAACAUUAUUUUCACAAUGGAAUACAGCCCUCAACAAAUUCCCUUCCUCGACAUCCUCAUUAAAAUUCACAACAAAAAAAUAGAAACAGACAUAUACUACAAGCCCACAGACUCCAAGCAAUACCUCCCUUUCAAUUCAUGCCACCCUAGACACGUUAAAAUUAACAUUCCCUACAACUUAGCCAAGAGAAUUUGCACUAUAGUCUCCAAUAAAAACACCCGUCUCUUACGUCUACAAGAACUCAAGGGCACAUUAACAAGCAGGGAUUACCCCACGUCACUAAUUGACAAUGGGAUCCAACGCGCCCUAAAACUCAGCACGCAGGAACUUAGACGCCCUAAACCUGUUACAUCGAAACCCCAUACUCUACCAUACAUCUCUACACACAACCCCCUCAACAAUGAAGCUUUUGACACCAUCCUCCAGAACAUUCCUGUAUUACAAAAGGACCAUAGAAUGAACCAAAUCCUCCUAACACACGAAAUCAUAAAGAGCAAAAGGCAACCCAAAUCAUUGAAAACCAUCCUAACAAAUGCCAAAGUACUGCCAACCACAACAACUAAACCCACAGUAAACAAAUGCAAUAGACCCAACUGUGGUAUAUGCAUCAACCUAAUAGAAGGUCCGGAAUUCCUUUUUAAACAAGGACAACGUUUCACAGUAAAACACAACUUCACAUGCGCAUCAGAAAACCUAGUAUAUGUCUUAACUUGCUCGGGCUGUAAUGAACACUACAUAGGCCAAACAAAAAAUAGCCUCCGCCAACGCAUGACUGUCCACAGAUCCCAAAUAAAAAUACAGGAAUAUAGAAAAAUAGCAUUUAGUGCACAUAUUGAUACCUGUGCCGCACAACUCCAUCCCAAUUUUAGAAUCUUUCCCCUCUACAAAUUUAAAGACAAUGCCACUCAUACCCAGCGAAUAACCAUGGAAUCCCACCUUAUUAAUAAAUACAGACCACUUCUAAACACAUGCCCCUAACACGAACCCACAACAAACACACUUACACCUGCACACACCCUACACACACCUUUACCCAGAUAUUAACACCAUGACACACACAAAUAUAUGGUUCCACACAUACACAUAAUUGAAUACGGGUGCAAAACAUCCAACACUAUUUUUUGGAAAUGGCUGUAAAUAUUGACUUCACACAAAUACGUUGCUUCCCGAUACAGGCACAAGGCCAGCAGAACUAUAAAUAUUGAAAAUUGUACCCACACACACACACAUAUAUACACGCGCGCGCGCCCCAACAUACAUAUAAACACACACACGCGCGCGCGCACACACAUACAUACAUACAGCUCUCCCUGUUCUAAACGAACUUACUUAUCCAGUCAAGCGGAAAAUACACUCCCUAACUAUGCGCUAAAAAGCUAUUUAAAAUAUCCACAUGACGUCUACUGACCAGCCUGAACAAUAAGAAUUUUCAACAACACUAUUUUCGAAAAUUCUAAACAUUCACGUGACCUCUUUAUUAUGGCCAAUAAGAAAUUUUAGGCGGGACACUAGCCAAAUUUUAACUUCUCUGGAGCCUUUUUUCUUACCCCAACACCAACUUCCAUUCAAACAUUCACGUGACCCCUUCAUAAUGACCAAUCAAAAUUUUAGGUGCGAAACCAAGCAAAUCCCAAACAACUCUGGAGCCUCUUUUUUCACAUAUAAGAGACAGACUCUAAUCUCUCUUUUAUAUUUUGAUAAGCAUAACAAAUGCGCAACCGGUAAAAAGAACUUUCACCUAAUUAAAUUACUUAAAUUACUUCAAUUAUUUGUCAGCAUUUUCUUCAUUUCCUUUUAUAUAUAUAUAUAUAUAUAUAUAUAUAUAUAUAUACAUAUAUAUAUAAACGCUGUAACAGUUAAAUUCACUUCAUAACUUAAAAUUGAAUAGAAGAUCUGAAAUCCACCUGAUGAAUGUCCUUAGAAGAGACACGAAACAAUUGUAGUGGCGAAUUUAAUUUUAUUUAAUUUAUAUUAAAUUUCUUUAUGUAUUGGAUUAAGUCUUUCUUUGUUUGAUUUGCAAAAUAGUGGUUUUGUCUCUAAUAAAUAUUAUAUAUAUAUAUAUAUAUAUAUAUAUAUAUAUAUAUAUAGUUAAAAAAGAUUACAGGUUUAUACAAAUCAAAUUUUUAUAUAUAAACAGACAUGUUCUUGACACCCAGACAGAAGAUAAACUAUUUUUACUUCAAAUUUUCAUAAAUUUUUACUGAUAUUUGAUAAGAUGAGAUACAUGAAACCAGUAAUAUUUUCUUUAUAUAAUUUUCUUAUUAAAUCCCCACUUAAAUUGAAAUGUCUUAGAUUUACAUCUGCGCUAUUUCCACCUCCAUCUUUUGUAUAUAAGCAUACAAACAAACACAUACACAUAUAUGUAUGUAUGUAUGCAUGUAUAUAUCUUAAUGUAUAGCUUUUACCUUUCACUUAUUUCAGGCACUGGGCUGCGGCCAUGCAGGAGCACCGCCCUGAAGCGUUUAGUCGAAUAAAUCGACAUCAGAACGUAUUUUCAAUUAUUGCUGCUACUACUGCUGCUGCUGCUGCUGACGGUGAGCCAGCAGAAUCGUUAUUACGCUGGGCGAAAUACUUAUCGUUAUUUCACCCGUCGCUUCGUUCUGAGUUCAAAUUCCGCCGAAGUCGACUUUGCCUUUCAUCCUUUCGGAGUCGAUUAAAUAAGUACCAGUUACACAUUGGGGUCGAUGAAAUCUACUAUACUCAUCCCACCAAAAUUUCACGCCUUGUGCCUAUAUUAGAAAGGAUUAUUAUUAUUAUUAUUAUUAUUAUUAUUAUUAUUAUUAUUAUUAUUAUUGAGUGAGAGAGCAGUUCAUGCCAUCAAAGUGACACUGGGGUAAAAUAUACGAAGCCCAAUAUACCCAUCAUGACUACCCGUCUGAUAAGGGUACACCAGGCACAUGCAUCACAACCAUAUGUGCGCGACAUGGUGAUCUCAUAUCAAGAUAAACAGCAUAUGACCUUGCCGGUGGGGCCCAGUUAGAAUUUUCUUCAGGUUGAGUAGCCCAUCCCGCUCAAAAGGUCCCUGAAUAAGGGUUGUUUAAGGAUGUUGAAAGAACCACCCAUGUUUCCAGAGGUGAAUUAUUCAAACCCCAAAGAAUCCCUCUCAACACAUGGCUUAUGAUGCUCCCCCACUACUUCUGCCCGUGAUCAGAGAUGCACAUAUCGUCAGCCACUAAGGGACAUGCUCAACUGGUUAAGGUCAAACAACUGACAAGCAAAUCUGUGGUAUUGAGCAGAAUAUUUGCUGUAGCCCAUCUUUUAUACCAAGACAAAACAAUUAUUAUUAUUAUUAUUAUUAUUAUUAUUAUUAUUAUUAUUAUUAUUAUUAUUAUUAUAAUUAUUAUUUUUUUUUAUGUAACAUAUGGUAUAAUUAUACAGAGAGAAAAUGUUAGCCAUUCCCCCGCAGACUGAAAAAAAAACUUCAAUCGAUUUUCGAACUUUAUUGGUUUCCAUCAGAAGCGUCUACAGCAUUCUGACACUUGCCAGAGAAGCAAGCAGCCAAACUGUUUAUGUACUCAACAAAUGCAGCAGUUACUCUAUGAAGGAGUCCUUAAUUUGCAUACUAAAAGUGUUUAACACUCUAUAAAUACCAGUGGCCUGGCAACAGAGAUCUUAAUCCACACAGUAUCAAAGUAUGAUAUAAUAAAAUAUGUCACAUAUGAUAUAAUUAUAAACAAGGCAAAUAUUAGCCAUAUAUAUAUAUAUAUAUAUAUAUAUAUAUAUAUAUAUAUAUAUAUAUAUAUAUAUAUAUAUAUAUAUUUAUAUAUAUAUAUAUAUAACGGGAAGGUUUAUGAAAAUAAACAAAAGACGAAGGCAGGUGGAGUACAAACAAACAAAUGUAUUAGUAUGGCGCUCAGGAAUAGAAAAAGUCUUUUACGUUUCCAGCCUACGCUCUUCGACAGAAAUAUACACAGAAAAAAACAAGGAGAGAAAAAAAUGCGUGCAGGAGCUAACGAUCUAUCAUGGCGAUCUGACUUCGGACAGUGGUCAGACGAGAGAAGGACAGUAGGGGAGAUAACAUAUAUAUAUAUGUAUGUAUAUAUAUAUAUAUAUAUAUAUAUAUAUAUAUAUAUAUAUAUAUAUAUAUAUAUAUAUAUAUAUAUUCUUUUAUAUGUUUCAGUCAUUUGUCUGCAGCCAUGUUGGAGCACAACCUUUAAUCGAAUAAAUCGACCUAAUAACUUAUUCUUUGUAAGCCUAGUACUUAUUCUAUCGUUCGCUUUUGCCGAACCAUUAAGUUACGGGGACGUAAACACGCUAACAUCAGUUGUCAAGCGAUGGCGGGGCGGCAGACAGACAGACAGACACACAGACAGACAGACACACACAUACAUAUAUACACGACAGACAUCUUUCAGUUUCCGUCUACCAAAUCCACUCACAAGGCUUUGGUCGACCCGAGGCUAUAGAAGACACUUGCCUAAGGUGUUACGCAGUGUGACUGUUUACGUCCCACUAACUUAGCUGUUCGGCAAAAAGAGAUUGACAUAAUUUGUAAGAGGCUUAGCUAAAGGUAAAUACUGGUGUUUAUUUAUUCGACUAAGAGUAUAAGUACAGAAGCGAAAAAUUAUGCGACAUGGAAUUCAACUAUAAGUGGCCUAUACUCCGCGUUGGAGGGUUAAAGGCAGAUG
rnacentral:lncRNA from 1 species